GGGGAUGAUCCGGUUUCGACGGGGGUUUUGAAGGAUAAUAAGCGAGCCGCGGCCCCGGACCGCGUUAAAACUGGGAAAUUAAAAAUGAACUGACGAACAGAAUUUCGCUUUCGCUGCCUAAUUAGGCGGCGCGCCGGCCCGGGAUACCCGCUGUUCCGGUCACCGGCGUCAUUUCAGCGGGGAACGGGAAUACUUAAGCUUUGCGGUGUUCUUGUAUGAUGAAGCUACUGAACUCAGAAACCUGUCUGCGGGUGUCUGAGAGAGGGAAUGUCAGAUCACAGACUGCGCUCGGAGAAGGUUGUUUGGAUGGGCUUUCGGACAGGGGUUCAACUCCCCUCAUCUCCAUC
rnacentral:sRNA from 1 species